rnacentral:rRNA from 1 species
ACUAAAUAGAUACCCAGGUAGUCCACGCCCUAAACGAUGCGAACUGGACGUUGGUUGCAACUUGGCAAAUCAGUGUCGAAAGCUAACGCGUUAAGUUCGCCGCCUGGGGAGUACGGUCGCAAGACUGAAACUCAAAGGAAUUGACGGGGGCCCGCACAAGCGGUGGAGUAUGUGGUUUAAAUUCGAUGCAACGCGCAGAACCUUACCUGACCUUGACAUGUCGCGAACUUUCCAGAGAUGGAUUGGUGCCUUCGGGAACGCGAACACAGGUGCUGCAUGGCUGUCGUCAGCUCGUGUCGUGAGAUGUUGGGUUAAGUCCCGCAACGAGCGCAACCCUUGUCCUUAGUUGCCAGCACGUAAAGGUGGGAACUCUAAGGAGACUGCCGGUGACAAACCGGA